CGGAGGAUCCAAGCGUUAUCCGGAAUCAUUGGGUUUAAAGGGUCCGUAGGCGGUUUUAUAAGUCAGUGGUGAAAUCCGGCAGCUCAACUGUCGAACUGCCAUUGAUACUGUAGGACUUGAAUUAUUGUGAAGUAACUAGAAUAUGUAGUGUAGCGGUGAAAUGCUUAGAUAUUACAUGGAAUACCCAUUGCGAAGGCAGGUUACUAACAAUACAUUGACGCUGAUGGACGAAAGCGUGGGAGCGAACAGGAUU
rnacentral:rRNA from 1 species